GAAGCGCUUGCCUAGACGAGACACAGUGCAUAAAAACAACUUGGUGACUUUGGGGGACAGGUAUGUUUUUCUUGCAGCUGCGGUUGAAAGGUCUUGGCAAGACAAGCA
rnacentral:miRNA from 1 species